rnacentral:rRNA from 1 species
UACGAAGGGGGCUAGCGUUGCUCGGAAUUACUGGGCGUAAAGGGAGCGUAGGCGGACAGUUAAGUCAGAGGUGAAAGCCCAGGGCUCAACCCUGGAAUUGCCUUUGAUACUGAUUGUCUUGAGUAGUGGGAGAGGUAUGCGGAACUCCGAGUGUAGAGGUGAAAUUCGAUAGAUAUUCGGAAGAACACCAGUGGCGAAGGCGGCAUACUGGCCCAUUACUGACGGACUGAGGCUCGGAAAGCGAUGGG